rnacentral:rRNA from 1 species
GAUGAACGCUAGCGAUAGGCCUAACACAUGCAAGUCGAGGGGCAUCACAUGAAGUAGCAAUACGGAUGGUGGCGACCGGCGCACGGGUGAGUAACACGUAUGCAACCUGCCUUCAACAAGGGGAUAACCCGUUGAAAGACGGACUAAUACCCUAUAACACAGGGGUCCCGCAUGGGGAUAUUUGUUAAAGGACAACCGGUUGAAGAUGGGCAUGCGUUCCAUUAGCUAGUUGGCGGGGUAAGGGCCCACCAAGGCAACGAUGGAUAGGGGGAACUGAGAGGUUUAUCCCCCACACUGGUACUGAGACACGGACCAGACUCCUACGGGAGGCAGCAGUGAGGAAUAUUGGUCAAUGGACGGCAAGUCUGAACCAGCCACGUCGCGUGAAGGAAGACGG